UUGUAAACAAUGGGGGUGCAAGGGCCCCCGUCCCCAACCCUUUGUUGACCAAACCACUUUUGCCUCGGGGGCAGAGCGGCCUCCGCCGCCCCCGGUGGACCAUUCAACCCUGUCUCUGUACGUCGGAGUCUUUGAUGAAUAAAUGA
rnacentral:misc_RNA from 1 species